rnacentral:rRNA from 1 species
GCCCAUGGUCACAAUGGAUUGAUCACAGAAGAUAAAACGAUCUAGCUUAGUCUAGUACUUGGAUGGGAUACCUCCUUGGGGAUCCCAAAAGCCAUAGGCU